CUUGCUCGUGCAGUAUUGUGAAAUUCUCACAGUUAAUAGAUCAAUGAUGUUUACGACCAGCGCGGAGAUACAGACCAAUUGGCUUAAUUUGCUUUUGAAAUACGCAAUCUUUUUUAUACUUGUUGCAAAAUAUAUGCAAACGGAAUAUAUAAUACAUGGUGUUUGUUUGUUUCUUCAAAUGUGUGUACAUCUCGACUUUCAUGUGAUACUACUGGAGUAUAAUGGUACUAAAUUUUAGAAGUCGACUUGUAUAGUGGAUACAUUCACUUCUUGAAGGAAACAUUUGUGGAAAAGACUGGAUAAACAAAAUGCGACGUAGAUGUAUAUUACCUAACCGGUCAAGGACACGUGCUCAAACAAAUAAUUUAUACGUGUAAUACCAGCAUAAGAAGAAUUGUUUUCAUAGAACGAGCUUUAUUGAGUAUAUUCACGGAAAUUUUUCAUUGAAUGUAUACACGGAUGCACUUUAUUGAAUACAUGUAUAUACACGGAUACACUUCAUUGAAUAUAUACAAGGAUACAACAGACAUACAGCCAAGGUUAUUUGAUUUUGAAAAAUGUAUUUCGUCGCACAUAUAUGUGUGCGUUUACUGCGAGGGUGAUUCGUUACUAUAACUUCUAGAGGACACCGUCGAACAUUAGCCCUCCAUUAAUGAUGUGUAAGUUCUCACAUUUCGACGUCGAGAAUCGGUCCAAACUGAGUAAACUUUUGAUAAUUGUUUUCGUCAUUUCAAUAUUCCUGCAUGGAACUGCAAUGGUUGGUUCGGCAACAUGGAUGCUGAUAGUAAAUGUAAUAACUUCUUGCCGUUUUCUACGGCCUUAUUAUGCAGCCAUUAUAUUAUACUUGCUUGCAGGAAUUGUUGCAGUUUUUAGUGUAUGCGUAAGUUUCUUUUGCGUUUGCCUACUAGGUCAUUCCUUCCUGAAAAUAUUUCUCGGUUGUCUUGCGACGUUGCUCAUAUUUGAAGUAUCUAGUGCUAUUUGUGCGACAACGUUUCGGAAUAAAUUAUAUAAUGACUUACCAGCGACAUUGACGAAUAUUUAUGUUGAUGCUUUAAAAGCUGAAACCAACUUCGGCAAUCAACAUGCCCUACCAGACGCGAACAAAUGCUUGUUUAAAUUACAGUCAUCGAAAACAUGUUGUGUUGAAUUACAAUCUGAAUGGUGUCAGUUUAGUAAUUACACACAAUGUUCUAAUGGAACCAAAAGUGAUUCCUCGUCGUUAUGUUAUUGUCCUGACAUAUGCGCGUCUAUGAACAAAAAAAUUAUGACUGGCCCGCCAUGCUAUAAGGUUAUUUUGGAAACCUUCGACAAAGCUUAUGACAUCAUCGUAGGAGUAACGAUGACUUUUGCAGUUGUUCAGGUUGUUACAUACGCUGUUCUAGCAUCAAUUGUACCAAAAUUAAAUGCGCACUCGGUUGUGGGCAUAUAUAAAUCAAAGCCGACAGCAUGCGAUGACAGUACAGGUCACAUCUAAUGUGUGUGUUUGGAUAUUUCAUGCCGUCCAUUUUUCGACUGACACAUCACAACAGAAUUAACAACGACAGAAAUGACGGAGUACUCUCUUCAAAAUUGAAACAAUAAGUGUAGCUGUUUAAGAUUUACAUCUGGAACAGUUUUAUUACCGUGACCAAAUGUCAUGUCUAGAAAAUAAAAGUGUAGUGUUGAACUGUU